rnacentral:misc_RNA from 1 species
GGACUUUGAGAAAUCUCUUCAAGGUGCAUCAUCCUGUAUACUUCUUCAUACAAUUAUUUGCAAAUUGUACUUAAAUUAGACAUCAUAUGAAACAUUUAAGAGGACAAUGUAACACUGUUAUGUGGAUUUUAUGAUCUGCAAACAUUGUUUUGUUUUAAUUAUCUUCUCAUACAAUUAACAUCUCUCUGACCUAGUUGAAAGCUUUGAAUCAAACGCCAGUAUGUCAUUCUUUUUGCAGAAACAAAACUUUCUGUUGCAGAGAUAACUAACCCUUUAUCCUGGAACAGUAGAUAGGGUUUUUUUAUGUGGAGCUUCAUUAAAACCAACAACAUUGGUUUAUUUCUUUGAUUAUUACUUUUUGCAUUAACCAGCAUAUGAAGCUAAAUGACUACUUUAAUUUUGAUUAGUUUCUCAAAAUGUUAGCACUUUUCCAAACUUGCACUUCCGAAAUUUACAUUUGUGAUCCAAGCUAUGACUCUGUGAUUCACCAUUUAUGACUUUGUGCUGUACGCAUCUGAUUUGUGCUUUGUGACUUGGUUUUCUGUGUAUAGAUACAUUACUCCUAUGGGAUUUGUCGCCCAUGUUACACGAUUUUUCAUUUAUCAAUUCCCUUUCAACCCUAACCAACUUUGCAAUUUGUUUUGCCAGGCCUCCCAUCAUAAUAAGCAAA